AUGAGGAACUAUCCAGAACGAUUAUAUAAACUAUUUGCCGGUGUGCGGUCCCAGGUGCAGCUGGUGGAGUCCGGAGGGGAUGUGAAAAAGCCCGGAGACUCUCUCCGCCUCUCCUGCAAAGCCUCCGGCUUCACCAUCAGCAGCUACGGGAUGAGCUGGGUCCGGCAGGCUCCCGGGAAGGGGCUGGAGUGGGUUUCAAGCACUUAUUGGGAAGUAUGGAACCGCUCUUACUACGCAGACUCAGUGAAAGUGAAAGGCCGAUUCACCAUCUCCAGGGACGAUUCCAACAACCUGGUGCAUUUGGACAUGACCGGCCUGAAGCCCGAGGACACCGCCCGGUAUCACUGUGCGAGAGAG